UUACUUCCGCUGCGGGAUGAUAGGAACAGGAUGUUUCCAAUACCGGAGAGUUGAAGCGAACAAUAAACGCGACAGAGAAACGUUUUUUGCAUCAGUCUCUAUUUCUUUCGGUUCACGUUACGAUGGCAACGGGUCCAACUGAUGUCAACUCCCCAAUCACACCAAUUCUAUUCGACAGUUCGCGCAAAAGUGAGCCUGGCACAGUUUGACGCCAUCGAAGUAGCUCCUUUCCUGGAUGGUUCGGUUGAAGGGAAGUCCUUAAACGCACCCAAGUCAUCUCCCUGCCCCACGAGGAUGGCGUUGCACAAAGUAGAAAAUCCGGAGCGAAGGCAGCAAGGUAAACAAAUCUAAUGCUUAUAUGUGCGACGGUACCGCUGAAGCUAGAAAAAAGACGAUGGAAAACACCAGAAAGAGAAGGAAUUAUUCAGGCAUGCCCUUCCACCAUACCCCGUCAGUUGGUAAGGCAGGACACACGACACUGAUCUGCACAUAAUCCGCGGACCUGCUGGGACCUCGUCGGAGUGAAUUGCGGAACAACGGAAAAGAGCUCUCUGGUCAGUUUCGGAUCAUUUCAUGAGGACACGUGCGCGCUGCACAUAAGCGAUUAUUUAUUUUCCAAAUCUGAUUUACAAUUCUUCGAGAGGACAAGGUGUUUGGUGUGGCGGAAAUGAAGUCGUUUGUGAUGGUUGUCAUUUAUCUGAACAUGGAGCUCUUCCUAUGUACUUCCUAUGAAAUAUAAUGUGUUGCCGAACU